rnacentral:rRNA from 1 species
UACGUAGGUGGCAAGCGUUGUCCGGAAUUAUUGGGCGUAAAGCGUGCGUAGGCGGUUCGUUAAGUUCGUUGUGAAAGCCCCGGGCUCAACCUGGGAACUGCAAUGGAAACUGGCGGGCUUGAGUGUGGCAGAGGGGGGUGGAAUUCCGCGUGUAGCAGUGAAAUGCGUAGAGAUGCGGAGGAACACCGAUGGCGAAGGCAGCCCCCUGGGCCAACACUGACGCUCAGGCACGAAAGCGUGGGGAGCAAACAGG